rnacentral:misc_RNA from 1 species
UGGUCAAAACUCUCCCUUCCUUCACCCCUGAUCGAUCCACUUACCAUAUUUUACUCUCCCAGUCCUGCAGAACAAUUGCUCCCUCCCUUUCCGCUGUUCACCAGAUUCUCAAUCUGAUGGUCAACAACGGGUUUGAUCCUAACCAGGUUACCGUUGAUAUUGCAGUACGGUCUCUCUGCUCUGUUAGCCGAGAAGAUGAUGCUGUUGAAUUGGUAAAAGAAUUA